rnacentral:ncRNA from 1 species
CGUCGUGAGACGAGAAGUGGAGGAAGUGUGUAGUAAAAUCGUGGGUUCGAUGAACAAGAACUUAAUAUCAAAGCUGUAUAAGCGGAUAAGGCUGCUAAACGAUUUAUAUAAAAUUAACUCUAAUUAUGUACAUUCCGUAAAAUUUAUAAUAAAUA